ACAUUACCCAUUGUGUAAGGUAAUUGAAUCACAGGCAGAUGGGAGGAUGUUGUGUGGGAGUGUCUGAGUGUAUUGUAUGUGUUUAUUGGUUGUGUUCCAAAACCCUGUGGGUGGUACUAAUGUGUAUAUAAGAACAAUAAACCCACAGCUCUGACUGUUCACUGCUUGACCCUCAACACGGAGCUUUGUCUCGUUCUUGGGGGGAUUUAUUG